AGGGCUGUGUGGAAUCUCCAACACCACUCUUCUCAAACCACAGCCCUCAACAACAACUCAGUACGAGCAGAGUACCUCAUAAUUGCCAUGACGGAGAUCAAUCCAUAUGCAAAAACCUCUACUAAUAAUGCAUCGAAAUCGACCUCAAAGUCAGACCACGUAGGAGCAGUUUUAGGCAAAGCUGAGGCUGGCAUCAAGAAUACCCCUCUGAAAGCACAUGCUGCAGGACCAGGGCCAGAGGCCGAGGCUGUAGUGUCCCAAGAAUAUAGGUGCCACUGCCA